ACUCUUCGGUGACUGGCAAUGCUUCCUGAAUGAAAGAAACAUCUACUUGACCUCCUCACAGUCUCCCUUUCUAUAGUGCAAGCUCGACUAGACAGUUUUGACAAUAGUGAUAUUAAGGCUCUGCUUGGUGCCAUGCAAUCUGCAUUUGGGGUGCCAGCUAGCCACAGGACUCAUCUGGAAAAAAACAACGGCCCAACCCUGAGAACUUUGGGAUUCACGGGAAAUUACAGUUCCCCUGAUGAUGCAGGACCGGACCAGGAUUUCACUCAUCAACUGGCCUAGAUUAAGGAGAAAGAAAUCUACAUUUCUGAACCUGGUAACGUCUGAGCAUACUCAUGGAAGAAAGAGCUGGCCUAUGAGCACCAUCUACAUUCUUACCAUGACUGUGAGACUGAUACUGCCCACAACGAUACCAGUACUGAGUGAUGAAGAACAUUUUGCUAAGUUGUUCUAUCGUGGUCCUUGCUUAAGGGGAUUGUUGGACGGAUGUUGUGGGAACUGAACUUGAAGAAGGAAGAGCCCAUCAUUUGGACACAUCUUAGGGCUUCCCAGCUGCACCAGGUUAUGGACAAGGGACCUGGAACCCCAACCCUUCCAGUCACUAACCACAUGGCCUGAGAUGUCAUUUCAUGCAGCUGGGCUCUUUGUGCUCAUCAGCAAGUGAUGUAAAUAAAGCAUGUGAGGUUAGCACACCGUAUAUUCUCAAAUCCUGGAGCUACUGGUCCUCUUGUGACUAUUAUUAUUAUUAAUAUUAUAAUGAACUUUUGAAAAAAUUAUUUAGUGUGUUGCAAAGUUUCUCUACACCUGGAAGUAAAUGCAGUCAAAUUUGGGUGAGGCAGGAAUUUCCAAUCUUGAGUCUGCCCCUUUGCAGACCCUUCCUAGAGGCUGAGACCCUGUAGCUGUGGCCUGAGCCCACCGGAUAUGCAGCCAAGUAUGGGCAUCUGUCAACUACAGCAAUGCAUAAGGGAUGCCACCCAAAUAGCUGCACUUUUCUGAAAAUCAUCACUUCUGUUCUGCAAAGAGCUACACAUUCCUCUCCCUUUUUCCCUACUUUUGAGUUCUUUAUUUUCCAAUAUGCAUGACGCCAAGGGGCCAUGAGGAUUUGUGAGCAUGCAACACCCCUGGGAGAAGGUAGUCUUUUGUGCCACAAUCAGUCGAAGGACCAGACCUGGAACCACUGAUUCCCAAGCUGUUGACUGCAGAGUCACCACCAGCUCCUUGAGAAUCUGAUGGUUGAUUCAGCUCCUCUUGGAUGGGUUGAUGGAAAAUGCAUUUAUAUUUGGCAAAUGCCAAUAUAAUUGGGCUUUUUAAAAUUCCAGAAGAUUUUAAUUGCAGAAAAUUACUUAAGUCCUUUAUUGUCUUUUUUUUUUUUUUUGCUCUUAAAGCUGAGCAAUGAAGUGAGACCAAACUAGAGUUUAAUAAAAACUAAUUCCCACUAGAAUUUAGAGCACAUCUUUAAACCUUAAAUCUUCUGUUCAUGACACUUUGCCCAGUUAACUGCUAGAGCCUGCAGGCUGUUUUUAAUUUACAGUUUUUACUCCCAUCAGAAGAUGGAAGGAAAAAUAACCGAAAAUAAUGUCUGCAGAAUAGUCCCAGUGCCUAGCUGUCCUGCACAACUGCCAGGCUCUGUUCAACUUGUGAGAGAGGAGAAAUUUCUCUCUGAAAGAAGGGCAUUAGGAUCCCCAAGGGCUUCUGUGCAAAAAAGGAGAACUGCCUGGUUAGGCCCCUCCUAUAUGCCCAGGAUGCAUAAACAUGAUCUCCCUCAGACCUCAGGGCAGCAUCUUGAUACAUGAGCAAGCAUCCCUGUGCUGCUGAGAAGACAUUUAGAGAGGUGCGGCCAUCACACACUAAUAAAGUGCAAAUCCAAUGCAUUGUGCAAUUCAAAUUGGAUCUGCCUCUUUCCCGAAUCAAUUAUUUUGCCUUGAGGGGUUGCCAGAUAAAAUACUGAAUGCUGAGUUCUGUUUAAGUUUCAGGUAACCAAGAGUCAUGUUUCCAUGUAAGUAUGUCCUAGAUAUUGCAUGGAACUUAGAUAUACUGAAAAAUUAUUGAUUUUUUUAAUCUGAAAUUUUGAUUGAAGUGGGCUUUCUAUAAUUUUAUUGUUAAAUCUGGAACACUAGGCGAUUUCUCUUCAUAAGAACCAAAUGUUGACUAUCUGUUCUUUUAUUGGUGUAGAUCCCAAUUCAAUUUUCAUUAAAAUUAAUGUAUAUUUGCAAAAAAUUAGCCAGGAGUGGUGGUGGGCACCUGUGGUCCCAGCUGCUCGGGAGGCUGAAGCAGAAGAAUGGUGUGAACCGGGGAGGCGGAGCUUGCAUGAGCCGAGAUGGCGCCACUGCACUCCAGCCCGGGUGACAGAGUGAGACUCUGUCUCAAAAAAAAAAAAAAUUAAUGUAUAUUCGGCAGGAUGUUUGGGACAUUGAUGCCUAGCCUUUUAUUUCAGGCCUAUGAGAAGAAAGGGGAAAAGGAUGGAAGAGGAUAAAGAAGGAGGGAGAGCAGGAGGGAAGAGUGGGAAUGAAGGAAGAAGGAAAGAAAAACUUAAAGUAGAAGAAAAAGGAAGAAAUCAAUAUUUUUCUGAACAUUUUCUAUUUUUAUUUUUUAUUUUUUUUUUAUUUUUUAUUUUUUAUUUUUGGAGAUGGAGUUUCACUCUUGUUGCCCAGGUUGGAGUGCAAUGGCACGAUCUUAGCUCACUGCAACCUCCCCUCCUGGGUUCAAGCAGUUCUCCUACCUUGGCCUCCCGAGUAGCUGAGAUUACAGGCACCUGCCACCAUGCCUAGCUAAUUUUGACAUUUUUAGUAGAGACAGGGUUUCACCAUGUUGGCCAGGCUGGUCUCAAACUCCUGACCUCAGGUGAUCCACCUGCCUCAACCUCCCAAAGUCCUGGGAUUGCAGGGCAUGAGCCAUGGCACCUGGCCCAUUUUCUAUUUUUAAAAAAGAGCACCCCUGCUAUAUCAGAAUCACAGGCAAUUAUAAAGUAAUUUAACUUAAAACUGAAAUGAAUAAUAAUUCCCUACAGGGGACAUCUCUUUAGGAAGACAACUUGUAAAAUAUUACAUUAUUACACUUCAAUUUGCAUAUGCGUACAUUUCAUUAACUAAAUUAUAACUAUUAAUGUCAGGUUUAUCAACCAAUUAUCAGCCAAUUAUUAUCACCAAGGAGAUCUAGAAUAAUUAGAUGACAGUUAACCAACUAAAUCAUAUGCAAAUAAAUUCAGUUUUUAUCCACUGAAAAUCAGAUCCUGCAAGACUCAAAACAUCUGGAUAUCUGUAAGCAUCUAAAACUUUGGCAUUUUUAUAGGCAAAAUAAUUCACUGGUUUAUUUUUAUUUGUAAUAUUUACUCAGAGGUUUUAUCUCUAUACACACACAGUCACAUUUCUCAUUAAUUUAAAAAAGUCAUCUGACCUCUUCAGACCCUGGCUGUUGCCCACACUUGGGCCACAGGACCCUGACAGAUCUUCUCACUCUGAGGUUGAAUGACUCUCAGAAUCAGCCAUUAAAUGGGUAACUGCAAGUAAGAGAUUUAAACAUUGCCUUUCUCUGUUGAAAGGUAGGCACAGAAUACAAAUAUACACUUCCUUCUUUCUUAUUUAGGCUUCCAGGAAUAUAAUACACGGUAUUUUAUACCCCACAUAUGUGACGACUAAUCCCAAGUAAGCACAAGGUGAGAGAGUUUUAACUGACAUGGGGCUAGGAGACAGUAAGAUCACACUACAGUCUUCUCUGGUUACUUAAAGCUUCUUGCAUUUAUUUGAAAAUACUAAGAUAUAUUCCAAUGGGAACAGGGACUUGGGAAAAUAAAAUUGCACAUCAGGGCUGACUUCACAAAGAAUUAACGAUAAAAUCUCUUCCUUGUCAUCUUUUAAUUCUUGAUCUGUGUGCCUCUGUGCUUAAGAGGAAUGGCUGUAUGACAGGGGUGGAUAGCAUUCCUACAUCCCAGGGACAUUUGCUGGCUCUGGGGCCCUCACGUCUGGAAAGACAUAGUUCCUACCUUCAAUCAGUAGGGUACACAUGAGCAUACCCAAGCACUGCACAACACAGCUGGUUUUAUAAUAGCCAUCAUGGAGAGGCAGAAGACAGAGAGGGAAAAUCCUUCCAAGGACCUGGUUAGGAUCCUCAGAGGAGGAGGUAAAAGAGCUUGGGAACAUCAGAGAUGGUGGCCAGGUAGGCAGGUUCAGGAUCGGCUGGUCCGAAUAAUUUCCGGGCUCUGGGGCAGAAGGGCUGUCUCUAAUUGUCUGAUAUCUGGCCCUGAGGGUGAUAGCCCCAUAAGUGGAGGGGCUUGGAGCUGUGGGAUGCAGAGACACACACAGAGGGAAGACUAUGAGAAAAGACACAGGGAGAAGAUGGCCAUCCACAAGCCAAGGAGAGAGGCCUCAGAAGACGCCAACCCUGACAACACCUUGCUCUCAGACUCUGGGCCUCCAGGAC
rnacentral:lncRNA from 1 species